rnacentral:rRNA from 1 species
GAUGAACGCUAGCGGCAGGCUUAACACAUGCAAGUCGAGGGGCAUCACAGAUAGCAAUAUUGGGUGGCGACCGGCGCACGGGUGAGUAACGCGUAUGCAAUCUACCUAUAACUGGGGCAUAACUCGUCGAAAGACGGACUAAUUUCCCAUAAGACCACGACCUGGCAUCAGGACGGGGUAAAAGCCACGGCGGUUAUAGAUGAGCAUGCGUUCCAUUAGCUAGUUGGUGAGGUAACGGCCCACCAAGGCUACGAUGGAUAGGGGUUCUGAGAGGAAGGCCCCCCACACUGGGACUGAGACACGGCCCAGACUCCUACGGGAGGCAGCAGUGAGGAAUAUUGGUCAAUGGGCGCAAGCCUGAACCAGCCAUGCCGCGUGAAGGAAGACGGCCUUAUGGGUUGUAAACUUCUUUUAUGAGAGAGCAAUAAAGGGUACGUGUACCCUGAUGAGAGUAUCUCACGAAUAAGCAUCGGCUAACUCCGUGCCAGCAGCCGCGGUAAUACGGAGGAUGCAAGCGUUAUCCGGAUUUAUUGGGUUUAAAGGGUGCGUAGGCGGAUUAAUAAGUCAGUGGUGAAAGUUUAUCGCUUAACGGUAAAAUUGCCAUUGAUACUGUUAGUCUUGAGUGUAUUUUGAGGUAGCGGAAUGUGUAGUGUAGCGGUGAAAUGCAUAGAUAUCACGCAGAACUCCAAUUGCGAAGGCAGCUUGCCAAGCCACAACUGACACUGAAAGCACGAAAGCGUGGGGAUCAAACAGGAUUAGAUACCCUGGUAGUCCACGCAGUAACGAUGAUUACUAGGAGUUUGCGAUAGACAGUAAGCUCCCGAGCGAAAGCGUUAAGUAAUCCACCUGGGGAGUACGCCGGCAACGGUGAAACUCAAAGGAAUUGACGGGGGCCCGCACAAGCGGAGGAACAUGUGGUUUAAUUCGAUGAUACGCGAGGAACCUUACCCGGGAUUGAACGUAAGUGGAAUAACGUCAAAAGAUGUUAGCUAGCAAUAGCCACUUACGAGGUGCUGCAUGGUUGUCGUCAGCUCGUGCCGUGAGGUGUCGGCUUAAGUGCCAUAACGAGCGCAACCCUUAUUGCCAGUUACUAACAGGUAAAGCUGAGGACUCUGGCGAGACUGCCGGCGUAAGCUGUGAGGAAGGUGGGGAUGACGUCAAAUCAGCACGGCCCUUACAUCCGGGGCGACACACGUGUUACAAUGGUGGGGACAGCGGGGAGCUACUCCGCGAGGAGAUGCUAAUCUUAGAAAGCCGGUCUCAGUUCGGAUCGAAGUCUGCAACCCGACUUCGUGAAGCUGGAUUCGCUAGUAAUCGCGCAUCAGCCAUGGCGCGGUGAAUACGUUCCCGGGCCUUGUACACACCGCCCGUCAAACCAUGGAAGUUGGGGGUACCUGAAGUCUGUUACCGCAAGGAGCGGCCUAGGGUAAAACCAAUGACUGGGGUU